AACGAACGCUGGCGGCGUGCCUAACACAUGCAAGUCGAGCGCGAAAAGGGCAACCUGAGUAGAGCGGCGCACGGGUGCGUAACACGUGGGUAAUCUGCCCUGAAGUCUGGGAUAACCUUCCGAAAGGUUGGCUAAUACCGGGUAAGCUCACGGGGACUUUGGUUCCUGGGAGAAAAGUGGACCUCUAUUUAUAAGUUCACACUUGAGGAUGAGCCCGCGGCCCAUCAGCUCGUUGGCGGGUAACGCCCACCAAGGCAACGACGGGUAGCUGGUCUGAGAGGACGAUCAGCCACACUGGAACUGAGACACGGUCCAGACUCCUACGGGAGGCAGCAGUGGGGAAUUUUCCACAAUGGGCGCAAGCCUGAUGGAGCAACGCCGCGUGUGUGAUGAAGGUCUUCGGAUCGUAAAGCACUUUCGACCGGGACGAAAACUCAUUGCUAACAUCGAUGAGCCUGACGGUACCGGGAGAAGAAGCACCGGCUAACUCUGUGCCAGCAGCCGCGGUAAU
rnacentral:rRNA from 1 species